CCGCGGUAAUUCCAGCUCCAAUAGCGUAUAUUAAAGUUGUUGCAGUUAAAAAGCUCGUAGUUGAAUUUCUGAGCUCGCCGAGCGGCGGUCUUUGGCCGACCACUCCGCAAGUUCAUCCUUGCCCCUCGGGGCGUCAUUUACUGUGAAAAAAUUAGAGUGUUUAAAGCAGGCUUUAGGCUUGAAUACAUUAGCAUGGAAUAAUGAGAUAGGACCAAGUCGUAUUUUGUUGGUUGCGCGAUUCGGUAAUGAUUAAUAGGGACAGUUGGGGGUAUUCAUAUUUAAUUGUCAGAGGUGAAAUUCUUAGAUUUAUUAAAGAUGAACUACUGCGAAAGCAUUUACCAAGGAUGUUUUCAUUAAUCAAGAACGAAAGUCAGGGGAUCGAAGAGGAUUAGAUACCCUCGUAGUCUUGACCAUAAACUAUGCCGACUCAGGAUUGGCACCCUUUUUUAACAGGGUGUCAGCACUGUAUGAAAAAUCAAAGUCUUUGGGUUCCGGGGGGAGUAUGGUCGCAAGGCUGAA
rnacentral:rRNA from 1 species